UUUUUUUGUUUUGUUUUGUUUUKUUUUAAACAGAUUUCCUAAACCUCAAAAAUGUUAGAUUCAAAAGGGGAGCUGUUCAAAUGCUUAUUGAAAUCUCUGCAAUUUAUUUUUCCAGGGUUAACUUUGGGAAGUGAACAAAGCUCAUAGUCCUGUAUUUUGUUAGUUAACAUUUAAAAUUGCUUGGAAGAAAUCCCCCAAUUCAUGAAGAGACAGGAAUGCCAAAGGUGGGAUGGGCUACAUAAACACAGUGCCCCCACACUAAUACUACUACUUCGGACUUCCUCCAAACUAUUGCUGGGGAGACGGGCACAGAGCAAGCUGUGGAAAAUUCCAAUUUUCCUAGUUCCAGCCUCACCACUGGAGCACACUUGGACUGGGCUGAUUGCAGAGAGAGUGCGCCCCAGCGCUGUGAGAGACAUGUAUCUUACUAGAUACAAGACUGAGGAGUCCUGGGUCACCUAUGCUCUUAGCAGUGUAAGUUUUGAUCAGUGAAAUCCUCGUGAUAUUUAUGUUUCUGCUGUUCAGAUAUGCACACAUCCACCCCCAUCCUAACAGCUCUCUGGUGUUUGGCCCUGCGCCAUAGCAAGAUUCAUAAGCCUGUUGUUCUUUUGUCUCUUCUUUCUGUGUCCCUUGAACUUACUGGAGGGGGCUUUGUGCAACACAGAAGAGGAGCCCAGUAGUCUGAAGAGAAUUUGUCUCUUUCUAGUAUGAACAGGCCAAUUUAAGUAUUAAUAUAUAUUUUUUCCAUAUUUCAAUUCUUAGACAUUUAAGUAAAUGUAUUAAGGGUCUCAGGAGCACAGAAAACAGGUAAUUCUAAGCUUUCACUUCAGCUCAU
rnacentral:lncRNA from 1 species